rnacentral:rRNA from 1 species
UACGUAGGGUGCGAGCGUUGUCCGGAAUUACUGGGCGUAAAGAGCUCGUAGGUGGUUUGUCGCGUUGUUCGUGAAAACCUGAGGCUUAACCUUGGGCGUGCGGGCGAUACGGGCAGACUGGAGUACUGCAGGGGAGACUGGAAUUCCUGGUGUAGCGGUGGAAUGCGCAGAUAUCAGGAGGAACACCGAUGGCGAAGGCAGGUCUCUGGGCCGAUACUGACGCUGAGGAGCGAAAGCGUGGGGAGCGAACAGG